GACGAACGCUGGCGGCGUGCUUAACACAUGCAAGUCGAACGCUGAAGCUCCGCUUUUGUUGUGUGGAUGAGUGGCGCACGGGUGUGUCACACGUGUGUACCCUGCCCCCUUCUUUGGGAUCACGCCCGGAAACGGGUGCUAAUACUGGAUAUUCACUUGUCUUCGCGUGGGGGUUGGUGGGAAUGGGUUUUCUGGUGGGGGAUGGGCUCGCGGCCUAUCAGCUUGUUGGUGGGGUGAUGGCCUAGCAAUGCUUUGUCGGGUAGCCGGCGUGAUGGGGUGCUCGGUGAGAGUGGGGCUGAGAUGGGGCCGAGACUCGUACGGGAGGCAGAAGGGGGGAAGAUGGCACAAUGGGUGCAAGAUGGAUGGAGCGACGACGCGUGAGGGAUGGGGGCCUGAGGGUUGUGAACCUCUUGCGCUCAUGGUUAAGCCGUAACAAUGGUUGGGGUGAGGGUAGUGGGUAAAGAAGCGCCGGCUAACUACGUG
rnacentral:rRNA from 1 species